rnacentral:rRNA from 1 species
CUACGGGAUGCUGCAGUGGGGAAUAUUGCACAAUGGAGGAAACUCUGAUGCAGCAACGCCGCGUGGAGGAUGACACUUUUCGGAGCGUAAACUCCUUUUAUAUAGGAAGAAGAUGACGGUACUAUAUGAAUAAGCGCCGGCUAACUCCGUGCCAGCAGCCGCGGUAAUACGGAGGGCGCAAGCGUUACUCGGAAUCACUGGGCGUAAAGAGCGUGUAGGCGGAUUAAAAAGUCAGAAGUGAAAUCCUAUAGCUUAACUAUAGAACUGCUUCUGAAACUCUUAAUCUAGAAUAUGGGAGAGGCAGAUGGAAUUUCUGGUGUAGGGGUAAAAUCCGUAGAGAUCAGAAGGAAUACCGAUUGCGAAGGCGAUCUACUAGAACAUUAUUGACGCUGAGACGCGAAAGCGUGGGGAGCAAACAGGAUUAGAUACCCUGGUAGUC